rnacentral:rRNA from 1 species
GAUGAACGCUGGCGGCGUGCUUAACACAUGCAAGUCGAGCGGUAAGGCCCUUUCGGGGGUACACGAGCGGCGAACGGGUGAGUAACACGUGGGUGACCUGCCCUCAGCUCUGGGAUAAGCCUGGGAAACUGGGUCUAAUACCGGAUAUGACUCCAUGACGCAUGUUGUGGGGUGGAAAGCCUUGUGCGGCUGAGGAUGGGCCCGCGGCCUAUCAGCUUGUUGGUGGGGUGAUGGCCUACCAAGGCGACGACGGGUAGCCGGCCUGAGGA